GGAAGACUUUAUUCAGGACUGUGGCAACAGGGAGACUAGUCAGGACUAUUGCAAUAGGGGAGCGAGAUGGAGCUCAACUUGGAACACAACAAGGACAAAGCGGAUUUACAGCCAAGGAGCAGGGCGAGGGGGUCAGUGGAUGGAAGAUUACUAAGAGGAGACAUCAAGGAUCCCGGGAUUCUUGCUGAAGGCAGGAAAGGACUUAGACGUCAAAGGUGAGGGAGGAGGAACUUGAUCAGAUAUCAAGGGUCAUCAGAUAGCGAGAGUGGGGCGAUUCUCACUAAACUGACAGCAAGAUUCUCGCUGAGACCGGGCCAGGCAGGCCAAAGGCAGAUGGGGCCAAAGUCAAGGCCUAGUCGAGAAGAGGGCUUAGAGGAGCCUAGGUAAAGUUUGGUCAGGAGAGUCUUCAUCAUCCCUGGCACCUCACCGUCUCUUGUUGGUUCCCUCAACCCCACCCACACCUCUCUGCACACAGUCCUUUCAUUAAACCCUCUUCAAUGAAACAUCUGAGCAAUGGGUCGUCCUCUCCCGCCAGGCCCUGACUGUGGAUCCUUCCCACCUCACAGACCCGUUUUGAGGAUCAAAUGAGACAACGGGUGCAAGAGGGCUUCCUGAGCCCUGAGGAUAAGGAAGUUUUCUUCAUGAUUGAGAGGAAUCUGGUACAGUGCAAAGGGCACAGGGCACGGGGUUUAGGCUUAGUCCCGGGUUCAAAUCCUGGCCGUGCCCCUUGUUAGCUGUGCUGAGGGGCAGGUGCUUAUCUUCCCUAGGCCUCAAGUUCCCACCCUAUUCAUCAAGGAAAGUACUUCUCCCUCAUGGAGUCCUGGGGGAUGACAGAGGAAACAAGAGGGUUUCUCAGAUGAGCGUCCUUGGCUGUUUGUCUCCACGGGGGAAGGUGGACUCUGACGUCAGGGAGCCGAGGAGCUGGGCCUGGGAAGCCUCGGUUUCUUGAUAUUGUCUGGGCACUAGUUUCUCUGUAAAAGGACUUCAAGGUCCUGGGAUCGCCCACAACUUUAGUGGGAGCCCAGAGUGAGGCCAUCUGGACUUGAACAAUUUGUAACUUCUAUUUGGUCGUAAAGCUCAGGGGGUCAAAGCUUAAAGAAACAAGCAUUUUUCAAUGAGUGUAACUAAGGAUCCAGGGUCCUGGAGAUGUGUGCCUUUAGUUUUAGCCCAUCUCUGCUGGGUUCACUGAAGGGGAACUGAUAGCCGGGCUGAUAGCGACUAAUAGCCGGUCACACAUUGGCCCAGCCCACCCAGCCACCACCCCAUCUCCCACCUGGGAAACCGGGAGCAGUUAGGGCUGGAAUCCUGGGGAAGAGAAGUUCUUUUUCUGUUGGGCUGCUGAGGGGCGAUGAGGCCAGCCUGGGAGUGGUGGUGGAGAGCCCCCCUGAGCAGGACAGCAGCACAGAGGGCAGGAAGCCAAGCCAAGAGGCUGGGAGGGACGAUCCCUGCUGAUGGCGUCGAGCACCCAGAGUCAUGCUCAUGCGACCACAAGGGCCAGUGUCUGGAGCCGCUACAGGGGAGGCCAGGAGCCUUCGCCACUCACCGUCCCUGGGGACACCCCCUUCCUUUGGGUCUUGCAGGACCCUAUUCCCCACUUGCACAGCAGAGGUCUUUCCAGAAUACGUGGAGUGCCUCGCUCAUUCUGGAACGGGAUGGGUCCCUCGCUGCCCUUUCCACGUCUCCUUGGAUCGCAGCUCAGAUCCUGCUAUCUCUGCCUCGUGGCCUCUCGGGGCUGCUGCAGGAGAGCCCAGGGACAGUCCACACCACAGCACAGCACUUAGGGCCCUGUGAGGCGAGAGCUGCCCGCCAGAAAGCACUGCCCACCAGGACCUCACACCAGCUGAGGAGGCUGUCGAGGCCCUGAGGCCCGGACACAGGGCUCAGACCAAAGGGACCCCAAAGGCUUCAUGAUGGCUGGGGGCUUCUGGCCGUG
ensembl:lncRNA